ACGUAGGAGGCAAGCGUUAUCCGGAGUUACUGGGCGUAAAGGGCGUGCAGGCGGUUGGCUAAGUUCGUUGUGAAAGCGCCCAGGCUUAACCGGGAGAGGACGUGCGAGACUGUCGGACUAGAGGCAGGUAGAGGCAAGUGGAAUUCCGGGUGUAGUGGUGAAAUGCGUAGAGAUCCGGAGGAACCCCGGUGGCGAAGGCGACUUGCUGGGCCUGAACUGACGCUCAGACGCGAAAGCAUGGGGAGCGAACGG
rnacentral:rRNA from 1 species